UAUGAAGAGUCAAAAGAUGAUUUAAGGUUUCAAAAAGAGAUAACCCAAAUAUAAAGAGAUUCUGCCUUAGAAGCCAUGGAUCUAACCAGAAAAUAUAAAGAUCUUACUCAGACAGCUAAGGGUCCUGAGAACGGUCUGAAAGGCUAUGGGUGUGAGUUGAACAGCCUCUAGUCCCCUUGAGGAUCAAAGUAGCAAGGAUCUGGCGUAUGAGGGGGCCAUGGAGGCUAGGCUAGUGGUGGAAACACCAUUGAUACCGGCGAGCCAACAGUCGACGAGUAGGAGCUUAGGUUUAGCAGAGAGAGCCUUGAGAGAGUUGAG
rnacentral:lncRNA from 1 species